UUUCGAGUUUCCAAUUAUACCCUCCCUGUCGCGUCGAGGUCUCACUCCUCUACCUCCGCCUCUGCUGCGCUCACUCUCCCUUCCCUCCAUCGCCGCCCAUCCAUGGCCCUCGUCGCUGCCGUCCCUACCUUCCCUCUCUCCACCGCCGCCUUUCUCCGUGCUGGAAUCCCAUCUCGCUCCCCACCACCACGUUAUUACCCGUAGAAAUCACCUCCUUUCACAGUCAAAGGUUGUACUUUGAUGCGCCUGAUCUACGGGGAACGACGACGAUGCCGCCGGAGCUGCCAGGUGCCGUCCCUGGAGAGCGCCGAGUACCUCGAGCCGGCCAGCUCCUGGAAUAGAAGAUACUCUGUGGUGAGAAGGGCGUGCUUGUGCCCGACGGCGUCGUCCGUUCGGGCUGCUCGUCCUGGCCUCCGGCGCUGGACCGUGUGGUGCCGCUUUCCCCCAGCCACGCGGUGCCCGUUUUGGCUGCUCGAUUCCGGCCGUUGUCGACUUCCCCGGGCUCCUCUUCCACAAGCUGCGCUUGCGUCUCAAGCGCCGGAGCAGCAAGGGGAGGGCGCAUGCCCCUGUAUUUUGGCUACAGGCUAGCUUAAUGUUGGAGACAUUCUCACAUGCACCAUCAAAAGAUUUGUUUACAGAAUUGGUCAGGGCCGGAGGAGAAACACAAAAUCACAGUGAGGCCGCCGCCACCCGUUCCUCGUUGCCGUUGAUGGACUGCACGGCCGCUCCCCGUGCCCGCCCUCUCCGCUCCGUCCUGGGGACAUGGGUGGCUCCAGACCAUCAGGGGAUCAGAUGCCUGGACGAUCUGGGGAUCAUGGGACCUGGGUCUCAGGCGACUUGGUGAUCAGAAGAGCAGGCCACCUGGGGAUCGGGAGAUCGGGGCGGAGGUGAAGUAGAUGGAUCGGGAUUCGAAGCUGGCUGGGGCGGAGGAGUAGCUGGGUCGGGAGCUCGGGGCGGAUCUGGAAGACGACCACGCUCAGGAGGCGGAGCAGGAAGACGCUCGGGGGGAUCGUGAUUCAACUUUAGACAGGGGUAGCGAUGUAAUUUCACACGUUUUUCACCUGGUCCGAAAAAAGCUAAAACGUCUUAUAUUUCUGCACGGAGGGA